rnacentral:misc_RNA from 1 species
CAAUACUCAAACUCUGCACAAAGAAGGCCUAAUAAGCCCAAAUCAAGAAAAAACCCUCACAGAGGAUGAAUCUAAACCCAACCCAAUGCUCAUGACUCGGAAGGAAUGCUCGCUGCGCCGUAGAGAAAUAUACCAGAGGAUGCUCGGCGAAUAACCAUGGCUACCUCAGCAUAAACAACAUAUUAAUAUCGGUUGGAGGUGAAGCAAAACGAUUGAAGCACCAUUAAAGGGUUGAAGAAACGGCUGGAAAGUCUUAAAAGAAGACCCUUUAGAUAAUAGCGACCCCAUAAGCAGCAGGAAGAGACGCUGGAAGCCCAUACAGCCCAAAGACUCCUUGCCAUGGAUCUGUCAUCGGUGCUACAGGUGGAGAAAAAAACAAAGCUCUCAUGCUGGCCAGCGAUCACCCAUAGGCGUUGGUAAGGACCCCGAGAUGUCUGCUUCUCCUGUCUCUUACAAAAUCAAAACCAUACCUUUAAGCAG